UCUGUACUGCCUUUAUGAUUGUCACAGUUC
rnacentral:piRNA from 1 species